rnacentral:rRNA from 1 species
UAGGGAAUCUUCCACAAUGGGCGAAAGCCUGAUGGAGCAACGCCGCGUGUGUGAUGAAGGCUUUCGAGUCGUAAAGCACUGUUGUAUGGGAAGAACAGCUAGAAUAGGAAAUGAUUUUAGUUUGACGGUACCAUACCAGAAAGGGACGGCUAAAUACGUGCCAG